GAAAGUGUUGUGUAAGAUAUUCUAAUUUGGCAUUAACUUCAUCUUUGGAUCCAAUUUAAUUACUUGGAUUACUGAGGGUUAGACAAUCAAUU